GCCAGACUCCUACGGGAGGCAGCAGUGGGGGAUAUUGCACAAUGGGGGAAACCCUGAUGCAGCGACGCCGCGUGAGUGAAGAAGUAUUUCGGUAUGUAAAGCUCUAUCAGCAGGGAAGAAAAAAGACGGUACCUGACUAAGAAGCCCCGGCUAACUACGUGCCAGCAGCCGCGGUAAUACGUAGGGGGCAAGCGUUAUCCGGAUUUACUGGGUGUAAAGGGCGCGUAGACGGCAUGGCAAGCCAGAUGUGAAAUACCGGGGCUCAACCCCGGGACUGCAUUUGGAACUGUUAAGCUGGAGUGUCGGAGAGGCAGGCGGAAUUCCUAGUGUAGCGGUGAAAUGCGUAGAUAUUAGGAGGAACACCAGUGGCGAAGGCGGCGCACUGGACGGUAACUGACGUUGAGGCUCGAAGGCGUGGGGAGCAAACAGGAUUAGAUACCCCAGUACGU
rnacentral:rRNA from 1 species